rnacentral:rRNA from 1 species
AUGAUAUUAAGCUUAAGCUGCCUUUGGCGCCUUGACGGCCUCGAAUCUUGGCUCCUUGGCCUCGAACUUCUGCUUGUUGUACACGUCCAUAUAAUCCCCGAACACGUAGUCCGGGUACGCGGCGGCGGCGCCUUCGCCCACCGCCGGCGAGAUGGCCACCUCGAACGCCGGGUUGUAGAAGGACGCGAUGGAGCGGCGGUUGCCGUUGCGCAUGGGCAGGACGCGGUGCCACGCGCUGCGGUAGCGGCCGUUGCUGAGCACCUCCACCUGGUCGCCGGUGUUGACGACGAUGGCGUCGGCGAGCGGCUGCACGUCGAGCCACUCGCCGUCCUUGAGCACCUCAAGGCCGCCGACCUUGUCGUCUUGGAACAGCAGGAUGACGCCGCCGGCGUCGGUGUGCGCGCGGAGCCCGGUGAUGAGGUCCGGGCGCGGGCACGGCGGGUAGUGGCUGACCUUGGUGCCGAAGAACGGCGCGUGGAGGCCGUCGCCGGUGAAGGCGGCCUUCAUGCGUCCCUUGUCCAGGCCGAGGUUCUCGUCCAUGGCCUCCAUGACGCGCUCCGCGAGCUUCUUGAGCUCGGCGCGGUACUCCCGCAUGGUCUCCUUGAAGGCCGGCGGGUCGGAGGGCCACUGGUUGUCGUCGUGGAGGUAGAAGAUGUCCUCCCAGUCCAUGUCGUCCACGGGCGCCACCGCCUCGCCGCGCCGCUCCGCCUCCGCCAGCCUCUCCAACGUCUGCACGGGUUCGGACGACCGGAACGCCGCCUCCCGGAGGCGGUAGCUCUCGGAGCACACCUUCUUGACGCGGUCAAGGAGCUCCAGCGGGAUGCCGUGGUUCACCAGCUGGAAGAAGCCCCAGUUCUCGCAGCCGUCGGCGAUCUGGGCCAUGGUCUCCGCCCUCUCGGCGCCGUGGAGCUUCGAGAAGUCGAUCACCGGAACAACCAUGGUGAAUUGGUGACGAUGAGCUUCUCAGAGUUUCAGACUCGGGUGUGGUGUUGUGUGCAGUCUUGUGGAUGUAAGUGCAGGUGCUGGGAUGAGGUGGAGAGAUGUGGGUGGCCAUGGUACUUAUAG